rnacentral:ncRNA from 1 species
CCUGCCGAAUUUAAGCAUAUUACUAACCGGAGAAAAAGAAAUUAACUAGAAUUCCCUCAGUAGCGGCGAGAGAACAGAGAAUAACCCAGCGCCGAAUCCCGCGACUGGUUGAUGAACGCCGGGAAAUGUGGUGUUAGGAAAGAUCCGCCAUCCUGAGAUCGUUCGACGCGCCUAAGUCCUUCGUGAACGGGGUCACACACAUACAGGGUGCCAAGCUCGUAGUUGGCCGCCGUCGAUCGCGGGAGGUUCACUGCUCAGAGUCGAGCAGGAACCGGGCGAAGAUGGUUGAUCGUUCAAGGUCG